AAAGGAAUAGACGGGGGCCCGCACAAGCGGUGGAGUAUGUGGUUUAAUUCGACGCAACGCGAAGAACCUUACCAGGCCUUGACAUGGGGAUAAAUGUCCUAGAGAUAGGAAGAUAGCUAUAUCCCACACAGGUGGUGCAUGGUUGUCGUCAGCUCGUGUCGUGAGAUGUUGGGUUAAGUCCCGCAACGAGCGCAACCCUUGUCUUCAGUUACCAGCAUUGAGUUGGGGACUCUGGAGAGACUGCCGGUGACAAACCGGAGGAAGGUGGGGAUGACGUCAAAUCAUCAUGCCCCUUAUGGCCUGGGCUACACACGUACUACAAUGGCGGCUACAAAGAGCGGCGAGCAUGUGAAUGCAAGCGAAUCUCGGAAAGGUCGUCUCAGUUCGGAUUGAAGUCUGCAACUCGACUUCAUGAAGUCGGAAUCGCUAGUAAUCGCGGAUCAGCAUGCCGCGGUGAAUACGUUCUCGGGCCUUGUACACACCGCCCGU
rnacentral:rRNA from 1 species